rnacentral:misc_RNA from 1 species
GCAUGUCUUCUGAUCCUGUUCCAUAUGCGCCAAGAAAUAUCCUAAUAACUGGUGCAGCUGGUUUUAUAGCUUCUCAUGUGACUAAUAGAUUGAUCAAGAACUAUCCUGGAUACAAGAUUGUUGCCCUUGACAAGCUAGACUACUGCUCUAACCUCAAGAACCUUACUCCAUGUAGAUCCUCUGCGAACUUUAAAUUUGUAAAGGGUGAUAUUGCUAGUGCAGAUCUUGUAAACCAUCUCUUGAUAGCUGAAGAUAUAGAUACCAUUAUGCACUUUGCUGCCCAAACCCAUGUCGACAAUUCCUUCGGAAACUCCUUUGAAUUCACCACCAACAAUAUUUAUGGUACUCAUGUGCUUCUUGAAGCCUGCAAGGUCACUAAGCGAAUCAAGAGGUUCAUUCAUGUUAGUACUGAUGAAGUUUAUGGUGAAACUGACAUGGAGACCGACAUUGGCAAUCCUGAGGCCUCUCAGCUCCUGCCUACAAACCCUUACUCUGCUACAAAAGCUGGGGCUGAAAUGCUU